AUGGUCAUAGUUUUUGGCCCCUUGAGCCUGAAUCCAACCUCCAUUUCAUUGAAAACACCCUAAAGUCUACAAAUCUAAGCUAAAACUUUUUGACAUUAUCCUUCUCGAUCAUUGUCCUCCACAAUUCAAUCAAACUCCUUUUAUAGUAUAUGGUUCCACCAUCCCGAAGUUUCACUUCCACCAUUUGGAUCUUCCAAAUCAAAGUCCACCUUGGCCAAA
rnacentral:lncRNA from 1 species